CAUGGUCCUAGUAUAAGCAUUAUACAGCGAAACUGCGAAUGGCUCAUUAUAUAAGUUAUCGUUUAUUUGAUAGUGCCUUACUACUUGGAUAACCGUGGUAAUUCUAGAGCUAAUACAUGCUAAAAAUCCCGACUUCGGAAGGGAUGUAUUUAUUAGAUUAAAAACCAAUGCCCUCUGGGCUCUUUGGUGAUUCAUGAUAACUUCUCGAAUCGCACGGCCUUGCGCCGGCGAUGGCUCAUUCAAAUUUCUUCCCUAUCAACUUUCGAUGUUUGGGUAGUGGCCAAACAUGGUUGCAACGGGUAACGGAGGGUUAGGGCUCGACCCCGGAGAAGGAGCCUGAGAAACGGCUACUACAUCCAAGGAAGGCAGCAGGCGCGCAAAUUACCCAAUCCCGAUUCGGGGAGGUAGUGACAAUAAAUACUGAUACAGGGCUCUUUCGGGUCUUGUAAUCGGAAUGAGUACAAUUUAAAUCCCUUAACGAGGAACAAUUGGAGGGCAAGUCUGGUGCCAGCAGCCGCGGUAAUUCCAGCUCCAAUAGCGUAUAUUAAAGUUGUUGUGGUUAAAAAGCUCGUAGUUGAACCUUGGGCCUGGCUGGCCGGUCCGCCUCACCGCGUGUACUGGUCCGGCCGGGUCUUUCCCUCUGUGGAACCCCAUGCCCUUCACUGGGUGUGGCGGGGAAACAGGACUUUUACUUUGAAAAAAUUAGAGUGCUCCAGGCAGGCCUAUGCUCGAAUACAUUAGCAUGGAAUAAUAGAAUAGGACGUGCGGUUCUAUUUUGUUGGUUUCUAGGACCGCCGUAAUGAUUAAUAGGGACAGUCGGGGGCAUCAGUAUUCAAUUGUCAGAGGUGAAAUUCUUGGAUUUAUUGAAGACUAACUACUGCGA
rnacentral:rRNA from 1 species